rnacentral:misc_RNA from 1 species
CGCAUCUUGCGCUCUUGGGUAUUCCUAAGAGCAUGUCUGUUUGAGUGUCGCCAUAAUCAUCAACGCUCCCUCUUUGUUAAUUCAAAGAGUGUGUCUUUUGUUUCGAUAUUACCAAUUUUUGGCAAUUAGAAACAAAAUGAUAUUAGGGUGUUGGAGUUUGAUGUCUUUCUCGUUCUGGAAAAAAGAACAAGAUACAUCGAAAUGCAGAUUAGGGUUACAUGUUGAGAAAACUAUCGAGUGUAACGAUUCGCUUUGCGUAAUAAUUAUUUCGCUUGGCACAGUUCACUUGAAUAAAGUCUUCACACAAAGCUUAAUCCUCCGAAUCAUAAAUUUUUAAAUUUUUGACCUCAAAUCAGUCAGGACUACCCGCUGAACUUAA